GUGCCGUCCGUCACCCCUUUCUUUGACUCAGAAAGGGAACUCCCUGACCCCUUGCGCUUCCCAAGUGAGGCAAUGCCUCGCCCUGCUUCGGCUCGCGCAUGGUGCUCGCUCCCACUGACCUGCGCCCACUGUCUGGCACUCCCUAGUGAGAUGAACCCGGUACCUCAGCUGGAAAUGCAGAAAUCACCCGUCUUCUGCGUCGCUCACGCUGGGAGCUGUAGACUGGAGCUGUAGACAGGAGCUGUUCCUAUUCGGGCAUCUUGGCUCCUCCUUGACAAGCUUGAAGGUGAGCACCUCGAAGGGCUUCUUUUUAUGUUGAAAGGCACGGGUUUGCAUGGCGGUUCAUCAGAGGUCAAUACCCCAGUUUGAGAAAGUCCACUGUGGGGAGGAAAGAGAGACUUAAACAAGCCCUGGAAAAACAAAGAAUGGAACACCCCUCCGCUGACUUCAACCAACUGCCUGCUGAUGCGGCCUGACUCCCAGCCCUUUUUGCAGUUUUGAAGUGACAAACUGACUAGGCUACAAAGUAUUCAACCAUGGGCUGGUUCUGGCUGGUUCACCGAGGCUGUGUACAAAGUGUCUUCAUGUCCUGUGUUUCACCUUUUAACAUACAGAACCUAAUUUUACUGCAUUUUAAUGUUAAUUCUCCACUCGAAGGUGAACAUGGGAUGUAUGUAACACAUAUGUUUGCUUAUCAAGCACACAUAUGACCCCCUUUCAUGAAUAUUCAUAGUUCCCCCUGUGACCUGUUGAAUAUGUCUGUUUAGCCAACCUGUUUGGCAUAAAACUCCUAUCCCACCCUAUCUCCCUCAAAGUACCUGUUUGUGGUCUCAGCUGGAGGUGCCACUUCCCAGCCUGCAGUUUGCAACCCUUCUCAAGAAAUAAAGUCUUCCUUUCCAA
rnacentral:lncRNA from 10 species